rnacentral:rRNA from 1 species
CCUACGGGUGGCAGCAGUGAGGAAUAUUGGUCAAUGGGCGAGAGCCUGAACCAGCCAAGUCGCGUGAGGGAGUACUGUCCUAUGGGUUGUAAACCUCUUUUGUCGGGGAGCAAAAGCCGGACGUGUCCGGCUGUGAGAGUACCCGAAGAAAAAGCAUCGGCUAACUCCGUGCCAGCAGCCGCGGUAAUACGGAGGAUGCGAGCGUUAUCCGGAUUUAUUGGGUUUAAAGGGUGCGCAGGCGGAUUUUUAAGUCAGCGGUAAAAUCGUGGGGCUCAACCCCAUCCAGCCGUUGAAACUGGGGAUCUAGAGUGUGCGAGAGGUAUGCGGAAUGCGUGGUGUAGCGGUGAAAUGCAUAGAUAUCACGCAGAACCCCGAUUGCGAAGGCAGCAUACCGGUGCACAACUGACGCUCAGGCACGAAAGCGUGGGUAUCGAACAGGAUUAGAUACCCUGGUAGUC